CUAAUAGAGGUUUUCUGGAUGCCAUUGGCCAUCCUUCAGUGAAGGAUUUGUGUUGCAAAGAGGGGAGGGCUAGUAUCUCAGUUGUAAACCUUUGCAUUUAAGUUUCAUACUCAAGCCAGCAGCAUCCUUGGAGUCCAGUUCAAAGCUGGGGAGAACUAACCAUGGAGCCAGAAGCCACUGGUGGAGGGACUGGCCUAAAGGAAGUGAAGUGUUUCAGCCAGAAUGUACUGACGCACAACCAGGAAACCACAAGACUGGCACCUCCUGCUGUGAAACUAACUGCUAAGGGAUUAUAGCAAUGUAAUCCUCACACUGGUCCAUCUCAAGGUUACUCUGAAGUGGAGAGAAGGAAG